rnacentral:lncRNA from 1 species
UUUUUUUUUUUUUUUUUUGCCAGUCUUCCACUUAACAGAUGGAUUUCAAAUUAACCUGUUAAAUUAGGUCAUAUUUUGGGGGUUUUAUUUCAAAUUCAAACCAAUCAGAAUUCACUCACUGAGAGGCUCUAAAAAAGUUAUUGGCCAUAUGCCCUUGGUAAAAAUCACAAAAUGUUUGCUUAAAAUCAAACCUCUUGCUAUGAAGAAACAAUUCAAUUACAUCAGAGGAUGCAAACCAGAGGCCUAAUACCCAGCCCACCAUGUACUGCUGAAGCCACAGAUUUUAAGAAAUAUUUACUAUAAUGUCAAAAUUUAUAUCAUCAAAUUUCAUAAACUCUCCACCUUUCUUGAUAAACUAGAAAAUUAGUGACUGCAUGUAUAAAUCCUUGCCACAAUCAACUGAAGCAAUUAACUUACUGCCUGUCCCCUUUAGAUGCCGUGUUCUCCAGUUACAGCCAGCCACUUCCAGGCCAUGGUUAUUUGGGGAUUUUGACCCUUCAUCUAGAGUGUUAAACAAGCAAAUUCUGUUCAUGGUUUUAGAAAACCAUCAACAAGCUUUUGCAGACUGUCACACUGUACCAUAAGGUACUUGGGGGCUGGGGGGCCUGCAGCAUGUGGAAAUUCCUGGGCCAGAGAUUGAAUCUGCACCACAGAAGUGACCCAAAUCACUGCAGCGCCACACGAGAAACCCUCCAUAAAGUACAUUUAAAGGUUUUCACAAAAUCUAAUUCUCCACAAUUCCAUUCAAUUGGCCAUUGUGCUUGGCCAAUAAGGUUAUGAAAUGGGUCCUUGGGUAAUUAAUAAAAGACAUAAUUUUUUUUUUUAAGGGCCAUACCUAUGGCAUAUGGAAUUCCUAGGCUAGGGGUCGAAGCUGCCAGCCUACGCCACGGUCACAGCAACUGGGAUCUGAGGCACAUCUGCGACCUUAAACCACAGCUCACAGCAAUGCCUGGUCCUUAACCACUGAGCAGGGACAGGGAUCAAACCCGCACCCUCAUGGAUAUCAGCCAGGUUGGUAAACGGCUGAGCCACAACAGGAACUCCUAAAAGGUAUAUAUUUUUCACCAAACAUUAGGUAUUAGUUAAGUUUUCAACUGCAGAGUGGUGACAAUAGCUACACUGGAGGCACAUGUACUACAAAUCCAAAACUUAUACUCGCCAAUUUCUCUAACACUCCCACUUUUCUUUGGCACAACAAAAGGCAGUUGACUAUAAAAGCCUUCUACCUAUGUAUGUCUAGUUUAUAACAAAGACCAAUUCUGGAUCAUGCAGGUUUCCUUCUGCCGAUGGCACCACACAGUAAUUAUCUUAGAUAUUAAGAUUCAGGACAGACGGAGAUAUUUAGGAAAAGGUGUGACCUCUCCUCACCUCCACUUUGCCUCUUUUCCUUCUCCCCAAAUAAAAUAGAUGGCAAACACUUAAAACACGGCAAGGAGCUUUAGCUUUGCUUAAUUAUAAGGGCCCAAGGCAACAUAUGGUUUAGACGUUAGAAGAAGGUCUUCAUGGGUGUUAAAACUCAAAGCAGUUCUUUUGAGCACGAUCCUUGCAUUUUAAAACAAACUAUGGAUCUCCUCAUCUGAUAGCUUCAUUCCUUUGUGAGUGAAGACCCAGCUCAGGUUUUGAGGGCAGGGCAAAGCUAAGGUCUUAGUGACUUAACCAGGGAGCAAAAAUUGAACCCAGAGCCCAGUAUCUCCCUUUCCAGGCUGGAAAAUUAAGCUGUCCAAAUCAACACACCUAUAAAACAUGGUUACAAUGCCGAAAGCCACCCAAAAAAACCAAACUGGGGAAUGAAUCAUAAUCAACCUGAUUCCAUUUUAGCUGUGACAGUGCUUUUCCAGUUUGUAUUUACCUUUACCACCUACAAUCUCACCCUGGACAUUUCUACCGGGGCAGCAAACCUAUUCACAAUUCCACAGCGGCCUGGUCCCCUGCUGCUUGACUUCAAAUUUCUUCUUUCUUUCUUUGCUUUUUAGGACCACACCAGGGGCAUAUGAAAAUUCCCAGGCUGGGGUCGAAUAAGACCUACAGCUGCCAGCCUAAGCCACAGCCAGAACAACGUGGGAUCUGAGCCACGUCUGUGACCUACACCACAGCUCAAGGCAAUGCCAGAUCCCGACCCACUGAGUGAAGCCAGGGAUCAAACCCACAGCCUCAUGGAUACUAGUCGGAUUC